GCCCCCUCCCGCGGCCGCCGCCCGCCAGGCGCCCGCCCCUCACGCCGGUUUGUUGUCAACCGCCAGGGCGGGGUGACGGCGGGGCGGGCGCGGGGCCCGGCGGCGCGGCCCGCAGCGCUCCCUGCCGGCCGUGCUGAGGGCGGGCGGGCAGCGCCAUGUCUCCCGGCGCGGCCGCCCCCGAGCGGGCGAGAUUUGCCCCCCGCAGGGCGCUGAGGCGAGGGCGAAGCUGGACUGCUUGGACCACUGAAUCUUCACAUGGGUACGUGCUGGCAGGAUCAGGCCACGGACAUCUGUGGGAGAUACCGGUAGGAUGUUAUUGAGACAGUGUGGACUAUCCCUGCAACAUCACUCAAGUAAGAACUGAAAAGGAGAUAGUCUGUACUGUAAGGAAUAUAUUUGAAAGGAGGAUGAAGGUGAAGUGUUGGUUACACUAAUUCCAGGAGAACACUAUUCUUUCUCCUCCUGGAUCCAAGGAAGAAGAGUUAUCCAUAACUUGUGAGUAGUAUGAGUUACGAAACUGACUUUAAAAAGUGGUAAGCCACAAUAGUUUGGUAAACAAAUCUAACAGCAAUAGAAAUGCUAGGAAUGACUAUAAUGUUUUCCUUACAUCUUUAUACUUAAUAGUUGUUUAUGUUUUUUUUUAACAUCUUCUCUUUGCUGAUGCACAUACUCCAUGUUCUGUAAUGUCUAAAGGUUUGUCUGGCUGGGAAAACUGCAUCAACAGACUGCUAUAAUUAUACAGGCAGAGUAAUAGUAUUGCUCAAGCAGAGACUGUUUCUCCAGCUUCAGCGUCAUUUUCCACUUUAGCUUAAGGCCUUUCUGAAGUUACAUAGACCAGAUUAAAAUGGUGGUCUUAUAAGAAAAUAAGAAUAUCCACCUUGGACACUGCAGCAUCUUUCCAUUAAAAAUGUUUUCAUUUAGGUUUUAAAAAUUAUUUUUCUGCGAGGAUGAUACUAAGUGUAUUUCCAUUAGAAGGUUUUAAAGAAUUUUACAAAAUAAGUAAUAGUACCCCAUUUUACAGCUGGGCAACUGAGGAGUAGAAUUUUUAACCAGAUUUCCACAAGUCACAUAGGAAAUACUUUCUGAUGUGGGAACAAAACAUAUAUCUUGCUCUCAUUAGCACAAAACCACAAAGCCUCUCUGAACUGUUGACACUGCUACCUAAUCUCAACCCCGGUGUUAAUGAGGCCACUUACACUCAAUUUUCAGUCAGAUCUGAAAAUGAGAGUCAGAUAUGAGGUGGGAUCACAGAAAUAACUCUGCAGUAUGCCUGAGUCAGGUUAAAACUUGCACCAUAAGGGGAUUAGGGAAUAAGUGCCAAAACUCUUAUCUGUAAUGAUCUCAAUUGAUUCUGACCACGUCAAUGCU
rnacentral:lncRNA from 1 species